rnacentral:rRNA from 1 species
CCUACGGGUGGCUGCAGUGGGGAAUAUUGGGCAAUGGGCGCAAGCCUGACCCAGCCACGCCGCGUGAAGGAAGAAGGCUUUCUGGUUGUAAACUUCUUUUCUGAGGGAUGAAGAAAGUGACGGUACCUCCGGAAUAAGCCACGGCUAACUACGUGCCAGCAGCCGCGGUAAUACGUAGGUGGCCAGCGUUAUCCGGAUUUCUUGGGUGUAAAGGGCGUGUAGGGGGGAAAGCAAGUCAGAUGGGAAAACUAAGGGCUCAACCCUGGGCCUGCAGUUGAAACUGUUGUUCUUGAGUGCGGGAGAGGCAAGCGGAAGGCGGUGUGUAGCGGUGAAAUGCAUAGAUAUCACGCAGAACUCCGAUUGCGAAGGCAGCAUACCGGCGCCCAACUGACGCUGAAGCACGAAAGCGUGGGUAUCGAACAGGAUUAGAUACCCGAGUAGUC